rnacentral:rRNA from 1 species
GAUGAACGCUGGCGGCGUGCCUAAUACAUGCAAGUCGAGCGAAGCGGGGACGGGUGAGUAACACGUGGAUAACCUCCUAUACGACUGAGAUAACUUCGGGAAACCGGAGCUAAACCAGCUACUUAUAUAUGGAUCCGCGCAGCAUUAGCUAGUUGGGAAGGUAACGGCUUACCAAGUCAACGAUGCAUAGCCGCCCGGCGAGGGUGAUCGGCCACACUGGAACUGAGACAGUGUCCAGACUCCUACGGGAGGCAGCAGUAGGGAAUCUUCCGCAAUUGGCGCAAGCCUGACAGAGAAACGCCGCGUGAGUGAUGAAGGUCUUCGGAUCGUAAAACUCUGUUAUUAGGGAAGCGGUACCUAAUCAGAAAGCCACGGCUAACUACGUGCCAGCAGCCGCGGUAAUAC